rnacentral:rRNA from 1 species
GUACGCUAUUCAGAGUUUGAUCCUGGCUCAGGAUGAACGCUGGCGCGUGCAUAACACAUUCAAGUCGAACGGAGUUGUUGGAAUUAAUCCUUCGGGAAGCGUAAAGACAGCUUAGUGGCGGACGGGUGAGUAACGCGUGAGCAACCUGCCUCUGUAUAUGGGAUAACGUUUGGAAACGGACGCUAAUACCGUAUAAUGCAUAGAUGUCGCAUGAUGACUAUGCCAAAGAUUUAUUGUACAGAGAUGGGCUCGCGUCUGAUUAGGUAGUUGGUGAGGUAACGGCCCACCAAGCCGACGAUCAGUAGCCGGACUGAGAGGUUGAACGGCCACAUUGGAACUGAGAUACGGUCCAG